rnacentral:lncRNA from 1 species
CUGAGGCUGUUCAUUUGGAAACUUACUUUAGCUCUAGCAUAAAUCUUGAUGACCUUUGAAGACAAGACAAGGUAUGUUAUCAAUUAACAAUAGUAUGUAUCAUUCAAAAAAAAAAAGACAAAAGAAAGUGUGCAUUGAUAAGCUUCAAAGAAUUGCAACCGUAGAAUAGAAUCUGAAGAAUAAAUCUUUCUAAAAUUUUCAUUUACAAGUUUAAUGGCAAGGAUGACCUGCGGCAAUGUUGAAAUGGGGUUCCAUUAUAUGCCAAUUAUCAUCUCUAGUAUGCUUUUUUAAGAGUAAAUUUGUUCUUGAUUUUCUGGAAUUGAAAUGAAGAAAGCCAAGUUCUCUGACGUAAAAUCCGGUGAUAAAUCGUGGACUUGUACCCAGAAAUCAGCGAAAAAGAAAUCAUGCCUUCAGGAUUCUCCCCUUUCACUAAUUUGUGAAUUAGCAGUAGACAAUUAUUAAAUGACCGAGACCCAUUUGAGAUCACCUUCUUCAGAUCAAUAAGAUGGUUAAAACUGAAUCAGAUAUAGACCGCCCCUAAUCGGU